rfam:Myotis brandtii contig272044, whole genome shotgun sequence.
GGUGGGGGGGUGGGGAGCCCUCAGCCUGGAUUGUGAGAGGGCACAGGCCAGGCUGAGGGACCCCACCGGUGUAGG